GGCACGGUGGUGCAGUGGGUAGCACUGUCAUCUCACAACAAGGGUGUGAAUGGGUUUGAAUCCCAGCCUGGGCCU
rnacentral:tRNA from 1 species